UACAGAGGUCCCAAGCGUUACUGAGAAUCACUGGGUUUAAAGGGUGCGUAGGUGGUCCGUUAAGUCAGUGGUGAAAUCUCCGGGCUCAACCUGGAAACUGCCAUUGAUACUAUUAGUCUUGAAUUUUGUUGAGGUAGGCGGAAUAAGUCAUGUAGCGGUGAAAUGCAUAGAUAUGACUUAGAACACCAAUUGCGAAGGCAGCUUGCUAAACAAAUAUUGACGCUGAGGCACGAAAGCGUGGGGAUCAAACAGG
rnacentral:rRNA from 1 species